rnacentral:rRNA from 1 species
CCGAGUGGCGGACGGGUGAGUAACGCGUGGGUAACCUGCCUCAUACAGGGGGAUAACAGUUAGAAAUGACUGCUAAUACCGCAUAAGACCACAGCACCGCAUGGUGCAGGGGUAAAAACUCCGGUGGUAUGAGAUGGACCCGCGUCUGAUUAGGUAGUUGGUGGGGUAACGGCCUACCAAGCCGACGACCAGUAGCCGACCUGAGAGGGUGACCAGCCACAUUGGGACUGAGACACGGCCCAA